rnacentral:lncRNA from 1 species
CUUUCUCUCCUAACAUGUCGAAGUAUAACUUGCCAGUCUCUAUUACACCACUCAUGAAUCAGUCGGACUUCUACUAUAUUACUGUUUUUUGCAAAGUCAUUCCUAAUAGUAUCAAUCAACAGGGCAUUUUCACUUUCCAACUCAACCUGCCUGAAACCCCAUACCUAUUACCAUUUCAAAAUCCACCAACCACACUCCACUUGGUCCUCUAAACACUCCUACUGCCGCCUUUUUCUACCUAUCGACAUCGAGCCAUCAAUAUUUUGCUCUAUGUUGCCAUUGUUUCCAAACGAUCUUGCCCAUGCCGUAGCCGAGGCUAUCAAAUUCUAGCUACUUCCACUAGCAUUAUGGAAGAUAAAUUCAUUUUGGUUCUUCCAAAGGAACCAAGUG